rnacentral:rRNA from 1 species
ACGUAGGGGGCUAGCGUUGUCCGGGAUCAUUGGGCGUAAAGGGCGCGUAGGCGGGCUCUCAAGUCAGGGGUGAAAGCCCAAGGCUCAACCUUGGAAUUGCCUUUGAUACUGAGGGCCUUGAGACCGGAAGAGGUCGGCGGAACUGCGAGUGUAGAGGUGAAAUUCGUAGAUAUUCGCAAGAACACCAGUGGCGAAGGCGGUCGACUGGUCCGGUUCUGACGCUGAGGCGCGAAAGCGUGGGGAGCAAACGGGA